ACGGGUGAGUAACGCGUGGGGACGUGCCUUCCGGUUCGGAAUAACCCUGGGAAACUAGGGCUAAUACCGGAUACGCCCUUAUGGGGAAAGGUUUACUGCCGGAAGAUCGGCCCGCGUCUGAUUAGCUAGUUGGUGGGGUAACGGCCUACCAAGGCGACGAUCAGUAGCUGGUCUGAGAGGAUGAUCAGCCACACUGGGACUGAGACACGGCCCAGACUCCUACGGGAGGCAGCAGUGGGGAAUAUUGGACAAUGGGCGCAAGCCUGAUCCAGCCAUGCCGCGUGAGUGAUGAAGGCCUUAGGGUUGUAAAGCUCUUUUAUCCGGGACGAUAAUGACGGUACCGGAGGAAUAAGCCCCGGCUAACUUCGUGCCAGCAGCCGCGGUAAUACGAAGGGGGCUAGCGUUGCUCGGAAUCACUGGGCGUAAAGGGCGCGUAGGCGGCGUUUUAAGUCGGGGGUGAAAGCCUGUGGCUCAACCACAGAAUGGCCUUCGAUACUGGGACGCUUGAGUAUGGUAGAGGUUGGUGGAACUGCGAGUGUAGAGGUGAAAUUCGUAGA
rnacentral:rRNA from 1 species